CGGGAGGACGGGGAAGGUUCACACCAAGCUCGGCAGCUUCACCAUCUCUCGCAAAGCCAGGACCUCUCUGGCAUUGGCGACGAUAUCUCUUUCUGAUGUCUCUACACGCUUCCUGGCCAGGCUUUGUGCAGCAGCCUGCAGGCUGGGACGCGCCGUGCAUGCUGCUCCUCUCCUUCAUAUCCACAUGGUAGUUGGCCGGCGGACCUUCCUCCUCCGUGCUUCCUAUAUAGAAAACAUUCAGAUUAAUUAAGCUUAACUUAUCAAUUUAUGUUUCUUUUGGAUUAAUUAUCACUGUUGGAUGUGCAGAUCUGAUUUUUUCUUGAUAGUAAAUUGUAUGUGCAACUCUGUACUUCUCUAGAACUUAUUUUUAGUUUAUUUCUAGUAUUACUGUAACUGCUGUUAUAUGUUCCUGCAGUCAUAAAUCCUUUGUUUCUGCCUUGUGUAUUGUGUUUUCCCUUUGUUAGUACAGUACAUUCUUGCUCACUAAAUAUUUCAGAGGCUGCCAUUUAUUUAUGAGUA